rnacentral:rRNA from 1 species
CCUACGGGAGGCAGCAGUAGGGAAUCUUCCACAAUGGGCGAAAGCCUGAUGGAGCAACGCCGCGUGGGUGAAGAAGGUCUUCGGAUCGUAAAACCCUGUUGUUAGAGAAGAAAGUGCGUGAGAGUAACUGUUCACGUUUCGACGGUAUCUUACCAGAAAGCCAUGGCUAACUACGUGCCAGCAGCCGCGGUAAUACGUAGGUGGCAAGCGUUAUCCGGAAUUAUUGGGCGUAAAGGGAACGCAGGCGGUCUUUUAAGUCUGAUGUGAAAUCCUUCGGCUUAACCGGAGUAGUGCAUUGGAUACUAGGAGACUUGAGUGAAGAAGAGGAGAGUGGAACUCCAUGUGUAGCGGUGAAAUGCUUAGAUAUAACGAAGAACUCCGAUUGCGAAGGCAGCUUACUAAGCUGUGACUGACAUUGAUGGUCGAAAGUGUGGGUAGCAAACAGGAUUAGAUACCCGUGUAGUC